rnacentral:rRNA from 1 species
UACGUAGGGUGCAGGCGUUAAUCGGAAUUACUGGGCGUAAAGCGUGCGCAGGCGGUUGUGCAAGACAGAUGUGAAAUCCCCGGGCUCAACCUGGGAAUUGCAUUUGUGACUGCACGGCUAGAGUGUGUCAGAGGGGGGUAGAAUUCCACGUGUAGCAGUGAAAUGCGUAGAGAUGUGGAGGAAUACCGAUGGCGAAGGCAGCCCCCUGGGAUAACACUGACGCUCAUGCACGAAAGCGUGGGGAGCAAACAGG